UACAGAGGGGGCAAGCGUUGUUCGGAAUUACUGGGCGUAAAGGGCGCGUAGGCGGCCUUCUAAGUCGAACGUGAAAUCCCCGGGCUCAACCCGGGAACUGCGUCCGAUACUGGAAGGCUUGAAUCCGGGAGAGGGAUGCGGAAUUCCAGGUGUAGCGGUGAAAUGCGUAGAUAUCUGGAGGAACACCGAUGGCGAAGGCAGAUCUCUGGGCCGUAACUGACGCUGAGGAGCGAAAGCAUGGGGAGCGAACAGGA
rnacentral:rRNA from 1 species